rnacentral:rRNA from 1 species
UGGGUAACCUGCCCAAGAGAUCGGGAUAACACCUGGAAACAGAUGCUAAUACCGGAUAACAACAGAUGAUGCCUAUCAACUGUUUAAAAGAUGGUUCUGCUAUCACUCUUGGAUGGACCUGCGGUGCAUUAGCUAGUUGGUAGGGUAACGGCCUACCAAGGCGAUGAUGCAUAGCCGAGUUGAGAGACUGAUCGGCCACAUUGGGACCGAGACACGGCCCAAACUCCUACGGGAGGCAGCAGCC